rnacentral:rRNA from 1 species
ACUUUUGCCUAUGGACUGACUGUACCCAAUUCUGUUCAAUCUUGGAAGCUAAGCAGUCCUAGGCCUGGCUAGUACCUGGAUGGGAGACUGCCUAGGAAUCCUGGGUGCCAUAAGAC